rnacentral:rRNA from 1 species
UGGGGAAUUUUGGACAAUGGGCGAAAGCCUGAUCCAGCAAUGCCGCGUGUGUGAAGAAGGCCUUCGGGUUGUAAAGCACUUUUGUCCGGAAAGAAAUCCUUGGCUCUAAUACAGUCGGGGGAUGACGGUACCGGAAGAAUAAGCACCGGCUAACUACGUGCCAGCAGCCGCGGUAAUACGUAGGGUGCAAGCGUUAAUCGGAAUUACUGGGCGUAAAGCGUGCGCAGGCGGUUUGCUAAGACCGAUGUGAAAUCCCCGGGCUUAACCUGGGAACUGCAUUUGUGACUGGCGGGCUAGAGUUUGGCAGAGGGGGUAGAAUUCCACGUGUAGCAGUGAAAUGCGUAGAGAUGUGGAGGAAUACCGAUGGCGAAGGCAGCCCCCUGGGCCAAUACUGACGCUCAUGCACGAAAGCGUGGGGAGCAAACAGGAUUAGAUACCCUGGUAGUCCACGCCCUAAACGAUGUCAACUAGUUGUCGGGUCUUCAUUGACUUGGUAACGUAGCUAACGCGUGAAGUUGACCGCCUGGGGAGUACGGUCGCAAGAUUAAAA